CAAUUGGACCUGAUAUCAGGCAGGAUUACCCGCUGAACUUAAGCAUAUCAAUAAGCGGAGGA
rnacentral:rRNA from 1 species